rnacentral:misc_RNA from 1 species
AACGCACCUUGCACUCUUUGGUAUUCCGAAGAGUAUGCCUGUUUGAGUGUCAUUAAAUUCUCAAACCUUCUUGGCUUUAUUGGUCGAAAAGGCUUUGGAUGUGGGAGUUGCUGGAACUAGCCUUUCAGCUCUUCUUAAAUGUAUUAGCGGGUUACUGAUCUCCGCUACUUGGUGUUGAUAGUCUAUCUUACGCCUUGUAGUUGAAUCAACUUAUGUAGCUGCUUCUAAUCGUCGACUUGGUUGACAAUAUACUUGACUAUUUGACCUCAAAUCAGGUAGGACUACCCGCUGAACUUAA